UCCUGUGAACAUGGACACUGUCUGUGAAGUAUUCUUGCCAACAAACCAAAUCUAGAUCAGAACAUGCCUCUACCCUGCAUUGAACUACCAGACUGCAGAAAUAACAGGACAGAGAAAACCACUCAAUGACACCAUGAGGAAGUAAUCAGCAAAAUUUGGGGUGUGGAGGACCCUACAGGGUCAAACCCAGAGAUGGGAAAUAUUGAUGUGUCUGCAACACAAAUACUGCUGAGACCCUGCUUGAGAAGCAGAGACCAAGUCACCUCCUCUGAGUGUCGUGUUUUGUUUCUUCAUCUGUAGAAUGGGGAGAGACAGACUGUCUCAUUGGAUUAUGAAGAUGGAGAGCUGUGGGCCUAAAACAGCCAGACUUUAGCUGACAGAUCCCAGAGACCCAAAGACUCCUGAGCAUCUCAUUCAAGCCCCUCAUUUUAUGGAUGAGGACACUGAAGUCCAGGUUUUCUAAAUUCCUGCUAUGAGUGAGAGAAUUCCUGAAUAUUUAACUGCCCAGGGACUCCUGCAUGGGCUCCCAGAGCCUCUGCUCUCUCUUCUCUACACAACUCAGUCUGUCCUGAGUUUCGCAAUCCAGUUUGGAGGCAGAAACGAUAGCCGUUUGAGUAGAGGCUGCAAUAGCAUGGCAGAGCCAUGGCAGAGACACACGGAGCCCCUGAGAGCAUUUCUUCUGCCACCGUGCCACUUGGACGGCCUGCAGGAAAAGACAUGGGCAACAGCCCUUCGGAGAAUGGAACAAAUGGCACAUGGAUGAAAGAAUAUCUCCCAAUCUCUUUCCAAUAAAGCCUGAUCAUAUGAGUAAAUUUUGUGCCAGUGAAGUCUAAGAGGAAAUGAUGAGUCACAAAAUUUGAGUCCUUCUGUGAUCAACUCAGCUCCAACAUUAUUUCUAUUUCCAAAAUUUUUGACUUCUUCUCCAUUCCAAGUGUUACUGCUUUAGUAAGCAAUAUAUCCUAGCAGCAUUAUUACCCAAGUGGUAAGAUCUUUGGACUUGUGCAGGGUAGAAUUCCAUCUGCAAAUUGGGAAUUUGUAGGUGUUUCAAGUUUUACUUCCUCAGCAGAGAAGCCAGGAAAGAUUUUAAUUCCUCCUGAGAAAAUGAGGUGAAGAAAAUGAACACGCAAACAUUUGGUGUGUUCUCGAAGAAACUUCCUAAGCUUCUUCUACAGCAUCACUUAAAAUGACCAGAUAGCAGACAAUCUGUUAUUCAAGGUGGAAAUAAAGAAAUAGGCA